CGUAGGUCGUCCCCAACCUCCCGCUCAACCCACAUGGGAUAGAGCCGCCGCGCCACGCUCCCACAACCGCCGGCCGCAGCCCUCGUGCAGGAUGCUUAUCCGCAGCCCCGCGCCUCCUCUCCGUGCCUAUAAAAGCCCCGAGACACCUUCAUCCGAUCCCGCCCCUCCUCUACUCAGCACGUCGCCCGCAGCCUCCAUCCUCUUCGUGUGCAUCUCGCCGGAGCCAAGCCGUUCCGCCAAGGAUUUCGUCGCCGGUCCCACUGGAGCCGCUGCCCCGACGCGCCGUACCGGAGCUCAGAGCCUUUGCCUUCGCCUCGCCCCGUCCCGACCCCGCCGACGCCCCACUCCAGCACCACCCGAAGGCCCGCGUCGCGCUCGACCUGGCCGUACCCUCUGCUGCCGCCGGAGCCGCCACCCAGCCCAUCACCCAGACCGCGUCGUCGUCCUUUGUUCAUCGUCAUUGCUGCUGAAUUUCUACGAUGGGUAAGAGUUAUGUUGUAAGAUUACGGUCUACACUCAACUUGUCAUUGGCGUUGAUGUGACUCCAUACUUGUUUGAUUGUUUCAGCUAAGACUUAUGAGCAUACCAAUCCAGGGAUGGCAUAGAUACACAGAGGCUUGACCAUUUGAGGUCGGGGCGCUACACUUCACCCAGAUCUCCGCACAGUGAAGGUCUUGGCAAUAGAAUAUGUCGGCCCCAACCUGGACCAAGUUGUCAGUUUCCUGACAUGCUUUCCGUGCCUGAAGAAGUUGUAUAUCGAGGUGAUGUUCCUUUCCUGUUAAAUGUUAACCAUAAUGGAGUUCAAUUUUUUGCACCUUUUGCCAAGUUUACAAUG